rnacentral:rRNA from 1 species
UACGGGGGGAGCAAACGUUGUUCGGAUUUACUGGGCGUAAAGGGCGCGUAGGCGGCCAGCACAAGUCAGUUGUGAAAUCUCCGAGCGUAACUCGGAAAGGUCAACUGAUACUGUGCGGCUAGAGUGCAGAAGGGGCAACUGGAAUUCUUGGUGUAGCGGUGAAAUGCGUAGAUAUCAAGAGGAACACCUGCGGCGAAGGCGGGUUGCUGGGCUGACACUGACGCUGAGGCGCGAAAGCUAGGGGAGCGAACGGG